rnacentral:rRNA from 1 species
GAUGAACGCUGGCGGCGUGCCUAAUACAUGCAAGUCGAGCGAACGGACGAGAAGCUUGCUUUUCUGAUGUUAGCGGCGGACGGGUGAGUAACACGUGGAUAACCUACCUAUAAGACUGGGAUAACUUCGGGAAACCGGAGCUAAUACCGGAUAAUAUUUUGAACCGCAUGGUUCAAAAGUGAACGACGGUCUUGCUGUCACUUAUAGAUGUAUCCGCGCUGCAUUAGCUAGUUGGUAAGGUAACGGCUUACCAAGGCAACGAUGCAUAGCCGACCUGAGAGGGUGAUCGGCCACACUGGAACUGAGACACGGUCCAGACUCCUACGGGAGGCAGCAGUAGGGAAUCUUCCGCAAUGGGCGAAAGCCUGACGGAGCAACGCCGCGUGAGUGAUGAAGGUCUUCGGAUCGUAAAACUCUGUUAUUAGGGAAGAACAUAUGUGUAAGUAACUGUGCACAUCUUGACGGUACCUAAUCAGAAAGCCACGGCUAACUACGUG